CGGGGGGAGCAAGCGUUGUUCGGAAUCACUGGGCGUAAAGGGCGUGUAGGCGGUCAAGUAAGUGGGAUGUGAAAUGCCUCGGCUUACCCGGGGACCUGCAUCCCAAACUGCUUGGCUUGAGUAUGGGAGAGGAUGAGGGAAUUCCUGGUGUAGCGGUGAAAUGCGUAGAUAUCAGGAGGAACACCGGUGGCGAAAGCGCUCAUCUGGCCCAAUACUGACGCUGAGGCGCGAAAGCUAGGGGAGCAAACGGGAUUAGAUACCCCGGUAGUCCUAGCCGUAAACGGUGAUCACUAGGUGUUGGAGGCAUCGACCCCUCCAGUGCCGCAGCUAACGCAUUAAGUGAUCCGCCUGGGGAGUACGGCCGCAAGGUUG
rnacentral:rRNA from 1 species